rnacentral:rRNA from 1 species
AGAGUUUGAUCAUGGCUCAGGACGAACGCUGGCGGCGUGCCUAACACAUGCAAGUCGAGCGAAGUAUAUCUAAGUGAAGUUUUCGGACAGAACGAAGAUAUAUCUUAGCGGCGGACGGGUGAGUAACGCGUGAGCAACCUGCCUUUCACAAAGGGAUAGCCUCGGGAAACUGGGAUUAAUACCAUAUAAAACUUGCCUUUCGCAUGAAAGGGAAGUCAAAGCGAUAAGCGGUGAAAGAUGGGCUCGCGUCCUAUUAGCUAGUUGGUGAGGUUACGGCUCACCAAGGCGACGAUAGGUAGCCGGCCUGAGAGGGUGAACGGCCACACUGGAACUGAGACACGGUCCAGACUCCUACGGGAGGCAGCAGUGGGGGAUAUUGCACAAUGGAGGAAACUCUGAUGCAGCGACGCCGCGUGAGUGAAGAAGGCCUUCGGGUCGUAAAGCUCUGUCCUAGGGGAAGAUAAUGACGGUACCCUAGGAGGAAGCCCCGGCUAACUACGUGCCAGCAGCCGCGGUAAUACGUAGGGGGCGAGCGUUGUCCGGAAUUACUGGGCGUAAAGAGUUCGUAGGCGGUUUGAUAAGUCAGAUGUGAAAGGCGUAGGCUUAACCUAUGUAAGCAUAUGAAACUGUCAGACUUGAGGUAAGGAGAGGAAAGUGGAAUUCCUAGUGUAGCGGUGAAAUGCGUAGAUAUUAGGAGGAAUACCAGUGGCGAAGGCGACUUUCUGGACUUAAACUGACGCUGAGGAACGAAAGCGUGGGGAGCAAACAGGAUUAGAUACCCUGGUAGUCCACGCCGUAAACGAUGAGUGCUAGGUGUCGGGUAGAAAUAUUCGGUGCCGCAGCUAACGCAAUAAGCACUCCGCCUGGGGAGUACGUACGCAAGUAUGAAACUCAAAGGAAUUGACGG